rnacentral:rRNA from 1 species
GACGAACGCUGGCGGCGUGCUUAACACAUGCAAGUCGAACGGUAAGGCUCCAGCUUGCUGGGGUACACGAGUGGCGAACGGGUGAGUAACACGUGGGUGACCUGACCUGCACUUCGGGAUAAGCCUGGGAAACUGGGUCUAAUACCGGAUAGGACCAUGGUGUGGAUACUGUGGUGGAAAGUUUUUUCGGUGUGGGAUGGGCCCGCGGCCUAUCAGCUUGUUGGUGGGGUAAUGGCCUACCAAGGCGGCGACGGGUAGCCGGCCUGAGAGGGUGGACGGCCACAUUGGGACUGAGACACGGCCCAGACUCCUACGGGAGGCAGCAGUGGGGAAUAUUGCACAAUGGGCGGAAGCCUGAUGCAGCGACGCCGCGUGGGGGAUGACGGCCUUCGGGUUGUAAACUCCUUUCACCAUCGACGAAGGGUUUCUGACGGUAGAUGGAGAAGAAGCACCGGCUAACUACGUG